AGAAUCAACGCUGGCGGCGUGCCUAACACAUGCAAGUCGAACGAGAAAGUGGAGCAAUCCAUGAGUAAAGUGGCGACCGGGUGAGUAACACGUGACUAACCUACCCUCGAGUGGGGAAUAACAUCGGGAAACCGAUGCUAAUACCGCAUAACAUCGCAAGAUCAAAGCCGAAAGGCGCUUGAGGAGGGGUCGCGGCUGAUUAGCUAGUUGGUAGGGUAAUGGCCUACCAAGGCUUAGAUCGGUA
rnacentral:rRNA from 1 species